AGGACAAACGCUGGCGGGGUGCGUGAGACAUGCAAGUCGAACGAGGUGCCAUCGGGCUUGCUCGAUGGCUACCGAGUGGCGGACGGCUGAGUAACGCGUAGGUGACCUACCCGGAAGUGGGGAAUAACUGCCCGAAAGGGUGGCUAAUACCGCAUACGGUCGACGAUUCGGUUCGUCGUCCAAAGGAGUAAUCCGCUUCCGGCGGGGCCUGCGUCCGAUUAGCUAGUUGGUGGGGUAACGGCUCACCAAGGCGACGAUCGGUAGCUGGUCUGAGAGGAUGAUCAGCCAGACUGGGACUGAGAACGGCCCUGACUCCUACGGGAGCAGCAGUCGGAAUUUGCCAAUGACGAAAGUCUGAGGCAGCAACUCCGCGUG
rnacentral:rRNA from 1 species